rnacentral:rRNA from 2 species
GACGAACGCUGGCGGCGUGCCUAAUACAUGCAAGUCGAACGAACUCUGGUAUUGAUUGGUGCUUGCAUCAUGAUUUACAUUUGAGUGAGUGGCGAACUGGUGAGUAACACGUGGGAAACCUGCCCAGAAGCGGGGGAUAACACCUGGAAACAGAUGCUAAUACCGCAUAACAACUUGGACCGCAUGGUCCGAGUUUGAAAGAUGGCUUCGGCUAUCACUUUUGGAUGGUCCCGCGGCGUAUUAGCUAGAUGGUGGGGUAACGGCUCACCAUGGCAAUGAUACGUAGCCGACCUGAGAGGGUAAUCGGCCACAUUGGGACUGAGACACGGCCCAAACUCCUACGGGAGGCAGCAGUAGGGAAUCUUCCACAAUGGACGAAAGUCUGAUGGAGCAACGCCGCGUGAGUGAAGAAGGGUUUCGGCUCGUAAAACUCUGUUGUUAAAGAAGAACAUAUCUGAGAGUAACUGUUCAG